CUUUGCAAUUGUGCGCAAGCACGACAAGGUUAAUCCGAGUGGUUUCUGCUAAAGGAACCUUUUGACAGUCCUAAAAACACUGUUGAAUAAGGGGUGGGCAAGUUCUGGUGUCAGCCGCCGCGGUAAA
rnacentral:rRNA from 1 species